AUGCAAUAAAGGAUGACGCGAAUUUCGGUUUCGAAUCUGUUUUUUGGAUGCGUAGUAGUUUCGUACAGUUUAGGUUUGACAUGCGAUCGCGCGUCGACAUCGGAUGGCACACUCGUGCCUUAUGUGCCACCGAAGCCCCGAAGUGCUCUGGCAUAUACCUUCACAUGUUUCCCUUCAGUAGGAAAUUGCUGGACAGGCGGACCAGCGCACCGGAAUUGUAUUGGCGAAGCCACAAGCAACUCAAAGAAUCUGUUUAAUUGUUGCACUUUGAACAAUCAUGCUUCUAUAAAGGCCACAGCAGAAAAACAGCCUGAUGACCGAGUAUUUCUGUGCCACGAAGUAAUCAAGAGGCGAGUGCCUAAUGCGGACGAAAUAGAGUGCAUGGAGACUUAGAACGACAGAAAGCUGAGCUAGUUGACAAUGCCUACGCCUAGCCACAGCAGCUCCCUCAUACAGACUCCGCAAGCCAAGAGGCCGUGGAGGCAAAUGCAGGCAGCCAGCACACCCCGAACAGCCACCUUGACUGCAGGUGUGUCACCCUAGUCACCUAGGAAACAUUUGAGGGAAAGCAACAGGCAAUGGGAACAGCCACUUCUCCAUCUAAACAAUACUCUUUCUCUUGGAUGACUCCUGCGCCUCGCCACGCCAGCACACUUGUGCACAAAGAUGCCGCGGAGGCACGUGCAGGUCAGAGGCAAGAAGCAGUGGCACUGGUGUCGACAUUCACCCAAUUUUUUUCACUUACACCGAGGCAGCCAGCACACCUCGAACAGCCACCUUGACUGCGGGUGUGUCAGUAGAUUCCUGUCGUACUAUGAUUACAAAAACGGCACCGAAUAAAACAACACACGAAGAAGGGAAACACGAGACAGCACGUAGGCGCACUAACAACUGAGUGUUUUAUUUCUUGACAUAGCAAUAUAUAGCUGCUGUCAAAAAACAACAAGAACUAAACAGGGCAGUCAUCUGCAUCGCACAAGGAAGCGAAGAUACAGAAUAACAUUUCAAGAGUCACUCUCAAGAUAUGCCAGCUCCUUUGUCGAAAGCGAAACUGAGGCUUCACUGAUACAUCCAAGACCGUGCUUUUUUAUCUCAAGCGCUUCCAAUAUCUCCCUAGUGAGUUCAUGGUCAGCUCUGUACAGAACACUGGUUCUAUCGAAAUCUGGGAUGCACAUGUGCGCCUUACAAUGCGCACUUAUAUGACCGGAGAGCUCGUUUUCCAUCUUAUACCUAUGCUCAUGUAAUCUGUCAUUCAGACAUCUGCCCGUUUGGCCUACAUAUGUUGAACCGCACGACAAGGGGACCGAAUAAACUACUUUCUGUACACAU